UUACUACCCUAGAAAUGACAGGUGUGUGAUUUACAAUUACUUUCUCCCUCCCAUAUUAAGGAUUCACCUUUGAAACCAACUUGUAAUGGAGCUUAACAAAUUUAGAUAAUGUAUUGAAAUAACGCCAAUCUCCAAUUCCUGCUUCAAAAUACUAUCUUCAACAAAAGAAGCAUUAUCCAUGAGUUCUUCACUGUUUACUCCAAGAUUUCCUUCCUUUAAAAAGCAAUAUACUAAAGGAUAUAUUGGCAACCAUUAACACUAGCCAUAUACAAUUUAAGAUUUUGCAAUAAAUAAAGACCAUCAGCAAAGUUCACAAAAAGCAAAUGAACAACACAAAAUUCCGUCCAUCCACAAAUCAAUAAUGGUAUGUAACCACCGCAUUAAAUAUAUUCAAAGGGGGUUCUAUAUUCCAAAAGCCUUCAAAUUCCACUCUUUUUGAAUGCCAAAGGGAAUUGAUCCUUUAUUUUGUUAGUCUGGCCCUACAAUUAAAGCCUCUCAAAAAUUUGGUUCCUCUUUGCAUACAUGUUCAAUUUUGCACUUAGACAUAUAAAAGUGAAAAAUUAUCAUAGGGCAUCCAAAAGAGCAAGAAUAUACUAUAUUUGUGAUUAAGGAAACAUUCUCUCCAAUCCAAAAUGUUGUCAACUUUCAAACAUUAUUCUAGUUCUAGGAAUUUUAGCCAAGUGCAUCAUAUUUUCACUACUUGAGCUCUAUUGUAAAAAGGGUAGGUGAGAGAG
rnacentral:misc_RNA from 1 species